rnacentral:ribozyme from 1 species
UGCCCAGCAACUUUUAUCCCUACCAUCUCAUGGUACUGGCCGGGGUACGAGCAACCUUAGGGAAUCUGGUAAAAAACUUUGGUGGGAGCUCUGGUCGUAUGCUGACAGGAAAGA